CAUUUAAUAUAAGUAACAAUAUGGAAACUGAGAACAUCAACAUACAUAAUGAACUACAGUGGCAUGACAAAUUUAUAAGAAUUAUUUGGAAAAAACAUACUACAAAACUAUUAAAGAUUGGUUCUCAUCAAGAAAGUGAAAAGGACCGAGUGUGGUGGCUUAUACCUACAAUCCCAACACUUUGGGAGGCCUAGGCAGGAGGAUUGCUUGAGCUGAGGAGUUCAAGACCAGCCUGGGCAACAUAGCAAGACCUUGUCUCUACUAAAAAUUAAAAAAUAGCCAGGCAUGGCAGUAGUAUGUGCCUGUAGUCUCAGCUAGCCACUCAAGAGGCUGCAGCGGGAGGAUUGCUUGAGCUUGGGAGAUCAAGGAUGCAGUGAGCCAUGAUUGUGCCACUGUACUUCCAGCCUGGGUGACAGAGUGAGACCAAGAAAGAAAGGAAGGAAUGCAAAGGAAGGGAAGGGAAGGGAAGGGAAGAAAGAAGGGGAGGAAGGAAAAAGACAACCCACAAACUUGUAGAAAAUAUUUGUGAAUCACACAUCUGAUAAGGGACUUGUAUCUAGAAUAUGUAAACAACUCUUAUAACUCAAUAAAAUAAAGAUAAAUAACCCAAUUUAAAAAUAGGCAAUAGAUUCAAAUGAAUAUUUCUUCAAAGAUAUACAGAUGGAUGAUAAGCACAUGAAAACAUGCUCAUCAUUAGUCAAUGAAGAAAUGCAAAUCAACGAGAUAAAACUUCACGCUCACUGGAUGGCUGUACUCAAAAAGAUAGACAAUAUCAAGUGUUGGAAAGGAUGUGGAGGCAUUGGAUCCCUCAUACAUUGUUGGUGAGAAUGAAAAAUGGUGUAGUAACUUUGGAAAACAGUUUGGCAGUUCCUCAGUAUGUUAAAAAUGAAGUUUCCAUAUGACCCAGCAGUUCUACUUCUAGGUAGCCACCCAAGAGAAAUGAGAACAUAUAUCGAUGCAAAAGCUUGCACAUGAAUAUUCCCAGCAACAUUAUUUGUAAUAACCAAAAAGUGUAAACAACCCAAAUGUCCAUCAAUUGGUGAAUGGAAAAACAAAACAUGGUAUAUCUAAACUAUUGAAUAUUAUUCAGCAACAAAAAGGCAUAAAGUACUGAAAUAUGCUAUAACAGGGAUCCCCAACCAGUCUGUGGCCUGUUAGGAACUGGGACACACAGCAGAAGAUGAGUGGUGGGCAAGUGAGUGAAUGUUCAUCUGUAUUCACAGCCACUCCCCAUGGCUCUCAUUACCACCUGAGCUCCGCCUCCUGUCAGAUCAGUCACAGCAGUAGAUUCUCAUAAGAGCAUGAACCCUAUUGUGAACUGUACAUCUGAAGGAUCUUGGUUGCAUGCUCUUUAUGAGAAUCUAAUGCCUGAUGAUCUGUCACUGUCUCCCAUCACCCCCAGAUGGGACCACCUAGUAGCAGGCAAAUGAGCUCAAGGCUCCCACUGAUUCUACAUUGUGGUGAGUUGUAUAAUUAUUUCAUUAUAUAUUACAAUGUAAUAAUAAUACAAAUAAAGUGCAAAAUAAAUGUAAUGCACUUGAAUCAUCCCGAAACCACCACCCCAUCAUCCGUGGAAAAUUUGUCUUCCAUGAAACUGGUCCCUGGUGCCGAAAAGGUUGGAGACUGCUGUGCUACAACAUGGAUGAACCUAAAAACCACAAUGCUGCUGGGAGGAAUGGCACAUGCUCAUAGUCCCAGUUACUCCAGAGGCUGAGGCGGGAGGAUUGCUGGGCAACAUAGUCACCCCAACUCCAAAAACCCAAAAAAACAAAGCCCAAACCAUUAUGCUAAGUGAAAGCAGCCAGUCAAAAAAGAUUACAUAUUGUAUAACCUCACUUAUAUAAAACGUCCAGAACAGGCAAACCUAUAGAGAUGAAAAGUAAAUUUGUAUUUGCUAAGGGCUGGGAGCAGGGAGGUUUGGGGGAGAAUGAAUGACUGCUCAUGGGUACGGGGUUUCUUUGGGGGAUGAUAAAAUUGUUCAAAAAUUAGAUUAUGGUGACGAUUGCAGAAUUCCUUAAACACACUUAAAACCAUUGAAUUGUACACUUACUAAGCUUUAAGGUAUGUAAUUAUAUCUCAAUAAAACUUUUGUUAAAGUCAAUUCUGUCCUCAUUGGGAUUUGAACCCUCAGGCCUCAUCACCGUCACUUUCUUUCUUGGGGAUUCUUUUUGAGGACAGCCCUAUCUGUCUGUAUGUAGCUUCCAUCUCAGGGAUGCUGUUUCCGUCAUUCCAUCCGACCAAAUAAGAAAGGAAAGAAGAUCUCAAAAUCUCCCAGCCCCAGCAUCUGUAAAGUAGAAAUUCUCCACCCUGGCUGUGCCUCAGGACAGCGUGAGUCACUUUUUAGAAACCCCGAUUGGCUGGAGGCACAGGGAGCGCAGGCCCAAGCAGCUUAUCCAACGGCCAGGCCAGGACCGCGUCCCGGGAGCCCCCGCCCAGGCCUGUUCGACCCCUCCCAGCCUCGGUUCGCCAGGGCUGACUCGUCACCUGCCCCGCUCCGGGAGGCCAGGGAAGGAGCGAGGACGCCGCAGGAGCCGGGAUCCAUAUGACCGUCACCCACAGCAAUGCGAAGCCUGGGCCUCCUGUCACCCCGCAGCAGGGCUGCAGCAACCCAGUUCUCCCACACCCGGCCCAGCUUACGGAAGAGGCCACAGGGAUCUUGCAGCCGUCAGAAGCUCAGAUUUAAGAAGUCUCUGCAGGAUACGGAGCAGGCAGCAGGAGUUGUCAGCGCACGGAAUACAGAGUGGUUCCCGGGUCACGAUGGGGUGUGGAGGCGGGGGUGGGGGGAGAUGGUCCAGAGAAAGAUGGUCCAGAGAAAGAGGGGCAGAUUUGGAGAAGUCUUUGGAGAGGAUCACUGGCCAAGUGGAAGAGGCGGAUGAAGAGCUCCCUGGGUGUGCUGCUGACCAAGGCAGAUCUGGAGGCAGAGUCAAAGCAACAGUCGGCAAUCGGGCAAUUUAUGAAGACGUUGAAGGAAGGAGUUGACACACGGAUUCAGUCAGAAAUUUCAAAGAGAGUAGAGUGAAAAGAAGGGUUUGGUGAAAAGAUUCAGGCAUUCCUGGUGGAGGUGACAUAGUGGAGCAGGACAUCUACCAGAAGUCCCGGGGCUAUGGUCCAUGAGCUUGGCCCUGGCGGAGUGAGGCCAGUGCAGCCUGGCUCCGCUGCAGGAGAUGCCAAGACAAGGCUGCCCUCUCUGGAACAAAAGUGACCUCAUUUCUCAGGUACUGCUGGGGACUGCCGGCCAAUUGCCAAUUUUGCCUCUCCUUCACUCAAUGAAGAAGUGUUUGUCUUUGCAAAUACAGGAAGCGCUCUUUUUUGUUUUCUCCUUGUGUUGUUGAGGCUUUGCUGUCCAGGAGUGGUUUCUGGGGAGGGCCACCCCAUCCAAUGUCCCCACCUUUUUUGACCUUUGGGUGCUUUAUUUGGGCUGGUGAGAACUCUCUUUUGUCCUGGGGGCAGUUCUGAGCUUAUAGGCCACUGAGGUCUUCAUAUACAACAGGGCCUAUUCCUUUUGUGAUUGGGUAGUCCCACCAACUGUAACACCAGAAUCAUCAGGAGGUAGAGCCCAAUCAGGAGAGCUGGGAAUGAAUGGCUCAGAACCGGUGUUUGGCACACAUGUAGGACAAGCAUUCUUCAUGUGUCUUAUUUUGAACAGCUGUCUGGAUUGUUGUCUCACAGGUUUUGGCAUUAUGUGACCCCCACAUCCCCAAUUCUGUCCUGCUACAGGCCGUAAGAUUUCAGGGGGACCAUUCCCAGGGUGGUACCUGUGGUUGAUAUAUGAACUUCCUUGUCCCCCACAAAUCUCCACAGGGUUCAAACCCAGUGUUGAAUGAGUCUCUGUUUGAAAUUAGAUUAGAACCACCACUUGGGAAGGGCAAAGAGCAGACAGCCUCAACAGUGGUGGAGCCAACCAUGAACUUCUCAGGAGUGACCUGUGCUUCCUUCAAGGCAGUUUCUGUUAUGUGUAUCCUUCUAAGACCUGCAUUUCUUUCAAGACUGAUCCUGUCCAUUUUGUAGCCCAUUUUUCUUCAUUAACAAUAAAACCAAUUGUGAGCACCAAA
rnacentral:lncRNA from 1 species